CACGUAGGGUGCGAGCGUUGUCCGGAAUUAUUGGGCGUAAAGAGCUCGUAGGCGGUGUGUCGCGUCGGCCGUGAAAACCUGCAGCUUAACUGUGGGCUUGCGGUCGAUACGGGCAUCACUGGAGUUCGGCAGGGGAGACUGGAAUUCCUGGUGUAGCGGUGAAAUGCGCAGAUAUCAGGAGGAACACCGGUGGCGAAGGCGGCGCUCUGGACCGAGACUGACGCUGAGGCGCGAAAGCGUGGGGAGCAAACAGG
rnacentral:rRNA from 1 species